UUUCUCAUUUCCAUCAAAAUGAGUAAAAGAAUAUGGAUAUUGAAUGGUUUUGUUUAAACCCUAAGUUUAUCCAUGAUAAUUUUAGUGAGAAAGUUUAAGGUUUUGAGAGAUUUUGAUUGAAUAAAGAGUGAUGAAUGACUCUCUUCUACCUCCAAGGUUGUAUUCUUUUGAGGCAAGUGAAGAAAUCAAUCUACGGGAGAAAUUCUCGAAGUUAGAGACUGAGGUGCUUGUGUCCAUGGAAAAAAGGUUCUAAAGCUCGGAUAAAGUCAGUGAGUCAGAUUUAGGAUAUUAAGUGCAUGGUGAAGGGAGAACUUAAGGCAAGUCAACUCGAUCUUUAUUACGAUGAUGCCUGAUGGUAGAGAGGCUUGAGGAAUUAUUAGACGUCGAAUUCAAGUUAGAGAUUAAUUAAAUGGAGUUUUAAUGUUCGAUGGUGGAGCACAAAAAUUGAGGAAAAGAAGUUCAAGUGGAGUAAGGAACUUAUCUUGGCAUCACUUAUCAAGGACUACUUAACGGGACGAAUACGGGAAAAGGGUAUUACACUGCUCGACUCGAUUAAGGUAGCUCAAAUGGCUCAGCUCAAGCGGCUUAGCUUGAAUCAGUCCGACUUAUUCAACCUGGUUCAAACCAUUUUUUAAAAACUGUCCAGAAGACAAACCCCAUGAGCAGGGGUGGUGCGUGGGGCGCCAGUGCUCAUAAUCACACCAUUUUCUCCAGAUACGCAGAUCAACAUAUUGGUAGUCUCAUGCAAGUGUUAUUUCUUGAUGAAGCAUGGAAAAAUAUCAUAUCUCGAAUGAUCAAACUUUCGUUCACUCACUCCUCUCAACGGUGAUGACAAAGAAGACACUGCUAGUACCAGUUGACUUGGUUCGAUGAGAGGAAUCCAUUAGAAUGGGAGGUGUUGUUAAAGGAAAACUCGUAGGCAAUGAAAUGAGUGAAAACCAUUGUGAGCUUUUAGUUUUCCAUUGAAGCUUUUAGAGCAUUCUCUAGGGUUACGGUGAGGUUUCACGAUGAGGGAGAAACUAGGUCUUGGUCGUGAGUUGACGACGGUACUGAUACCGGGGGCAGUGUACGUCACGGCCGACUGAAUGAUGAUCGAUCGAAGCUCGACGGUGAAGAGCAGGUUAUGGUUAGUUUGCAAAAAAAUGGG